rnacentral:piRNA from 1 species
UCAGAAAAGAAAUUGAGGAUGA